rnacentral:rRNA from 1 species
CAGGCCUAACACAUGCAAGUCGAACGAAGCACUUUCUUUAGAUUCUUCGGAUGAAGAAGACUGUGACUGAGUGGCGGACGGGUGAGUAACGCGUGGGCAACCUGCCCUGUACCGGGGGAUAACAGUUAGAAAUGACUGCUUUNNNCGCAUAAGCGCACGAGGACGCAUGUUCUUGUGUGAAAAACUCCGGUGGUACAGGAUGGGCCCGCGUCUGAUUAGGUAGUUGGUGGGGCAGCGGCCUACCAAGCCGACGAUCAGUAGCCGACCUGAGAGGGUGACCGGCCACAUUGGGACUGAGACACGGCCCAAACUCCUACGGGAGGCAGCAGUGGGGAAUAUUGCACAAUGGGGGAAACCCUGAUGCAGCGACGCCGCGUGAAGGAAGAAGUAUUUCGGUGUGUAAACUUCUAUCAGCAGGGAAGAAACUGACGGUACCUGACUA